rnacentral:rRNA from 1 species
GUGAGUAGUUCAGAGUUUGAUCCUGGCUCAGGACGAACGCUGGCGGCGUGCCUAACACAUGCAAGUCGAGCGGGGAGGAGAAAGCUUGCUUUUGAAUCCCAGCGGCGGACGGGUGAGUAACGCGUGAGCAAUCUGCCUCAAACAGGGGGAUAACGCAUCGAAAGAUGUGCUAAUACCGCGUAAGACCACAGCACCGCAUGGUGCAGGGGUCAAAGGAGCAAUCCGGUUUGAGAUGAGCUCGCGUCCGAUUAGCUAGUUGGUGAGAUAACAGCCCACCAAGGCAACGAUCGGUAGCCGACCUGAGAGGGUGAUCGGCCACAUUGGAACUGAGACACGGUCCAG